AGUGGAAGAAGGCAGAGUGUUGCAGAUCAGUGGAGAGAGAAGCAAGGAACAUGAAGAGAAGAACGACAAAUGGCAUAGAAUUGAGCGGAGCAGUGGAAAGUUCAUGAGGCGAUUCAGGCUGCCGGAAAAUGCUAAAGCGGAGGAGGUGAAGGCCAGCAUGGAGAAUGGAGUGCUGACGGUGACGGUGCCCAAAAUAGAAGAGAAGAAGCCUGAAGUGAAGUCUAUUGACAUCUCUGGCUAGACAUCACAUUGUUCCUUCUGCUUGUGCGUUCUGCCUCUUUUUAUGUUUAUGUCUAAUAAACUGUCGGUGUGCUCUGCAAUGUUUGUAGCUUUGUAAACAUGAAAUGUGUUUGGCUAUGUUUUAUAUGAGAAUGAACCUAAUCUGA
rnacentral:misc_RNA from 1 species